rnacentral:lncRNA from 1 species
GAGCUGGAUGUGAAGAAGGGUGAGAGACUUUUACUUUAACCUUAUAAAAUGAAUUUAGCUACAUAUGUUCUUACAUGAUCAGUACCACUAGUCAAUGAAGUCAGUCUAUAGUAUUAGACUAAGGUUGUGAUGUGUGUUUCUAUUGACAGAUGACUGCUGUGAGAAGUCAGUCUAUAGUAUUAGACUAAGGUUGUGAUGUGUGUUUCUAUUGACAGAUGACUGCUGUGAGAAGUCAGUCUAUAGUAUUAGACUAAGGUUGUGAUGUGUGUUUCUAUUGACAGAUGACUGCUGUGAGAAGUCAGUCUAUAGUAUUAGACUAAGG